UCUACGGGCGGCAGCAGUGGGGGAUAUUGCACAAUGGGGGGAACCCUGAUGCAGCGACGCCACGUGGGUGAAGGAGCGUUUCGGCGCGUAAAGCCCUAUCGGCAGGGAAGAAGAUGACGGUACCUGACCAAGAAGCCCCGGCUAACUACGUGCCAGCAGCCGCGGUAAUACGUAGGGGGCAAGCGUUAUCCGGAUUUACGGGGUGUAAAGGGGGCGCAGACGGCAAUGCAAGCCAGGAGUGAAAGCCCGGGGCCCAACCCCGGGACUGCUUUUGGAACUGCAUGGCUGGAGUACAGGAGGGGCAGGCGGAAUGCCUAGUGUAGCGGUGAAAUGAGUAGAUAUUAGGAGGAACACCAGGGGCGAAGGCGGCCUGCUGGGCUUUUACUGACGCUGAGGCUCGAAAGUGUGGGGAGCAAACAGGAUUAGAUACCCUAGUAGUC
rnacentral:rRNA from 1 species